rfam:Stegodyphus mimosarum contig98271, whole genome shotgun sequence.
GCCUUCGUGGUGUAAUGGUAAAGUACACUCGGCGCGAAUUCGAGAGGUCCGUGGUUCGAGUCCCGGCAAGGGCA